rnacentral:rRNA from 1 species
CCUACGGGCGGCAGCAGUGAGGAAUAUCGGUCAAUGGCCGAGAGGCUGAACCAGCCAAGUCGCGUGAGGGAAGACGGCCCUACGGGUUGUAAACCUCUUUUGUCGGGGAGCAAAGCGAACCACGUGUGGUUCAUUGAGAGUACCCGAAGAAAAAGCAUCGGCUAACUCCGUGCCAGCAGCCGCGGUAAUACGGAGGAUGCGAGCGUUAUCCGGAUUUAUUGGGUUUAAAGGGUGCGCAGGCGGAGGUGCAAGUCAGCGGUAAAAUUGCGGGGCUCAACCCCGUACUGCCGUUGAUACUGCAUGCCUUGAGUGCGCGAGAGGUAUGCGGAAUGCGUGGUGUAGCGGUGAAAUGCAUAGAGAUCACGCAGAACUCCGAUUGCGAAGGCAGCAUACCGGCGUGCAACUGACGUGGAUGCACGAAAGCGUGGGUAUCGAACAGGAUUAGAUACCCUAGUAGUC